GGGAUAGGAAGAAAAAA
rnacentral:miRNA from 1 species